ACGCGAUCCUCCGAGGUGGCGCUGACGACAGCGCCCAUUGUUCCUCUGCUUUCUAAGCUAUCGCCCCACUGGAUCCAUCAAAGGACCUGUGGCCAUGCUGUGCUUCGGCGAAGCUGCAGAAGGUGCUCUACGCCUGAGAAUCGCACGCAGCAGCAAAACUGGCGUCAUUGAGGAGGUAAUGUACGUGUCCUGACCUGCCGGCGUGCUGCCCUUCGACGACGCUGCGGUGGCGGCUCGAUGGCGGAGAAUCGCACGCAGCAGCACCGCCACGAGCAGCGCUCACUUCGCCACGUGCAUCGCAUGCUGCAGCUGCUGCGCAUCCAGCGAACCAGUGGUGCCGAACGAGGUCACGUGGGCUACUCUUUCUCUAGAAAGAGUCCCCGCGCGUGGUCAGCACGUUCAUCUUAACGCUUUUGCUUUCGUGAUUAGUCACUUUUUGUUCUACUACUCCUGUAAUAUAUCAAUAAAUAUGGUUUUGA